AUUUUAAAUCGCAACAAUGCGUAUAAAGAAUAAGCUUGCAAUAACCAUUAAAUUUCAUUGAUGAGUUAUUUUGUCGAUUUAGACAAGAAAAUCAAAGAAUAUUUCUUAAUCAUAAAAUCAUUGAAAGAACCACAACGAAAUAACUGUCUUCGUUCAUCAAUUAUCUAAAUCAAUAAGGAAGUGAUGGUUACCUUCGUGCUCAUACCGUUUUGAAAAGCCACUCAAAAGCUUUUCGGGUGUAUAAUUUUAACUACAGAGAAACGCAACAUGGUUGUGCUGGCAUCUACUUAUAUCUACAUGGAUGAAACCUGCUGUGCAAUCUGAAACUGAUAAUGGCCUAACCAAAUUUGUCAUGGAACUUUUAAAAUAUUAAAAUAGAAUUUGUUCUAAAAAAGAUUUACUCCGUAAAUUGUGACUAGAAUAAAAUUUUCGUGUUUUAAAAAGCAUUUGAACUUCCAUAUUAAAUUAUUUAGAUCAUUAUCGGUUUUAGGUGACAAACGGGUUUCAUCCAUACAGAUACAAGGUAGAUGCCAACGCGACCACGUUUCUUUUCUCUGUAGUUUAAAUUAUAUAAUCGAUAAGCGUUUGCGUGGGUUUUUAGAACGGUAUGAGCACAACGCUAAUCAACAAGCGAGGGAGAUGCCAACUCGACGAUGCUUGGAACGUUUCAAAUUGUGUUAUUGUUUGAAACAUUAAAUAAUAUAUUUAUAAUAACAA